UGGCGGACGGGUGAGUAAUGUCUGGGAAACUGCCUGAUGGAGGGGGAUAACUACUGGAAACGGUAGCUAAUACCGCAUAACGUCGCAAGACCAAAGAGGGGGACCUUAGGGCCUCUUGCCAUCGGAUGUGCCCAGAUGGGAUUAGCUAGUAGGUGGGGUAAAGGUUCACCUAGGCGACGAUCCCUAGCUGGUCUGAGAGGAUGACCAGCCACACUGGAACUGAGACACGGUCCAG
rnacentral:rRNA from 1 species